GACGAACGCUGGCGGCGUGCUUAACACAUGCAAGUCGAACGGAAAGGCCCUGCUUUUGUGGGGUUCUCGAGUGGCGAACGGGUGAGUAACACGUGGGUAACCUGCCCUUGACUUUGGGAUAACUUCAGGAAACUGGGGCUAAUACCGGCUAGGAGCUCCUGCUGCAUGGUGGGGGUUGGAAAGUUUCGGCGGUUGGGGAUGGACUCGCGGCUUAUCAGCUUGUUGGUGGGGUAGUGGCUUACCAAGGCUUUGACGGGUAGCCGGCCUGAGAGGGUGACCGGCCACAUUGGGACUGAGAUACGGCCCAGACUCGUACGGGAGGCAGCAGUGGGGAAUAUUGCACAAUGGGCGGAAGCCUGAUGCAGCAACGCCGCGUGCGGGAUGACGGCCUUCGGGUUGUAAACCGCUUUCGCCUGUUACGAAGCGUGAGUGACGGUAAUGGGUAAAGAAGCACCGGCUAACUACGUG
rnacentral:rRNA from 1 species